UCUUCUUCAUUAGCUCUUCCAUAAAUGAGCCCAGUUCUCAAUUCUCUGCCUAUACUGAUUUUGCCCCUAAUCGCUCAAUUCUCAUAGGAAGCUGCUGAAUCUGAGAGGAGAAUUUUUUUGUUACUUCGCUCAGCUCUCCGACAUUCUUCUUCUUCCUCUUUCUUUUUUCCUUUGUUUUUAGUGGAUUUCAUAGGUGAAUUUUCGAUUUUCUCUGUUUUAUAGCCAUGUCUAUAUUUCAGUUUUCAAUGUGAAAUUUAGGGAUUUUGUGUUCUCUAUGUCUUGACGUGAAUAGUGAAAGUUAAUUUACCGUAGUUGGCACCUGUAAAUUUAGUCUUGAUCUUUUUGCACCUCUGCCUCUCGCUCUCUCACACACUUAUAUCUGUUACCAAUUUUCUUUGCAAAAAGUUGAUGCAUACUGUUUUCUUGAUCACACCUACGUGCGCUCCUCUUCAAAUGUUCUUUCAUUUUUCUUCUGUUUUAUUUAUUGGCCAUAUCUUUCUAACUCUAAUUUCUCCAACAACUAAUAGUGCAAUUCAUAAUUUGCCCAAACUUCUCAUCUUCUCUAAAUGGGUCUCUUUAGGAUUUUUAGUGCCAACAGUUUGAUGUGAAGUGGGAGUUGGGGUGUACAACACCGCAAUCCUGAGUUGUAUGAAAUGCAUUGUAAAUUAUACUUAAUAUUAGGACAUACAUCAUUGAGAAAUAUUAACACGCCUACUCCAUCUUUAUUUUAUCAAACCAUGUGUCUUAAAUAUUUCUCUCAUUCACCACUCUCUGUAUAUAAUUUUUUUUCCUAUCUCCCCACUUCAAGAAGAGUCAUUUGGGUUUGUUUUGCAGUUCUUCUCGGCUUCUCUUGAUUAAUAUAUUUCAGCUUUCUCCUCUUUUUGAUGUCCAGAUUUGUUUCAUGAAUUCUAUCUAUUUUUUAUUUUACAAUCUUGUGGCUUUGGCUCUUCGGUUAAUUGAUUCUGUACCUGCAUUUGAAGAAGACGACCGAGAGUGAAAGUUAAGUUUCCAUUUCAUAGGCUUCAGAGAGGAUCUAUUAUGAUUGAGCAACUAAAUUCCCACGGCUUUGGGUCUUUCGUUAAGGGAUUCUGCUCAUGCAUAUGCUCACUUGACUAUUUCGUGUGUAACCAGUGCUGUCGUGUGGGGAACAAGUAAGAUUUCCUGCUUGCUUUGGAUAUUGUAUUGGCAAUCUUGGCGUUUUCUCCUUCGUCCUACAUAACCCCUAAUCCUGUAGGUAAAAAAUGAAUUUGUUGAAGGCUAUUAUAGCAUUUUCUUUGUGUUUACAAUACACAUGCAUGUACUCUUUGACGACUAUUUUGUGUCUAUCUCUUAGCAGUAAAUAGUAUUACGAACUACUCAAAUAGAAUACAGAAGGGCUCUGUAAACAAAAAUUAUGCGGUCACCAGUGUUUCAAUUUUAUAGCAGUCAAUGGUAUUAAGAAGAACUCAAUGUGAAUAGAUGAAGGCUCUGUGAACAAAAUUACCAAAGAGGUAUCUUUGGACCCAGCACCCAGCAAAUAGAAAAAUUGAGUGUGCUGCUAUGAAGCUUUUGGGUUUUCAUGGUGGUUUAUGUUAAGGCAAUUGUAAGUUUCAGAAGAACAUGUUCAGCCUGCAGGGAUCCUUAGAAAUAAUGGGCUACUAUUCAAUGAAUCUGCUAAAAGCAUAAAUCCCCAACUUUGCUUGGAUAAAGAUGGAAUAAGCGUGGUGGGACUGAGAUUGUGGCUGCACGGUUGCCCAAUUGAGUUUCAUGUUGUCUGAUGAAGAAGAGGCAAAUUUUAUUCAAGAUUAAAUUUAGGCAGCAUGAGGAAAAUGGUGACUAUCCUAUCGUCUGCUGUUCUAAGCUAUUACGUUCUGCCUCUAUGUGAGCGGUGAUAUUCCUACUUUAUUUCAAUUUUCAGCUUCACACUUCCUGAAAGCUACAUUGAGAGCUUGUGAUUCACAUAGGCACAAAAAUUACAUGUAUGAGGUUGCAAAAAAUAUUUUUUAUUUGACUCAACAAGAACAUAAAUGACAUUAUCCCCUUACAAAGAUAUUGGAGUCUCCGCAUAUUGAGAGUUGAUCAAUUUUUAAUCA